GCCAUCAUUUAAAGAAAGCGUAAUAGCUCACUGGUCGAGUCGGCCUGCGCGGAAGAUGUAACGGGGCUAAACCAUGCACCGAAGCUGCGGCAGCGACAUUAAGGUGUUGUUGGGUAGGGGAGCGUUCUGUAAGCCGUUGAAGGGGGACUGUGAGGUCUGCUGGAGGUAUCAGAAGUGCGAAUGCUGACAUAAGUAACGAUAAAGCGGGUGAAAAACCCGCUCGCCGGAAGACCAAGGGUUCCUGUCCAACGUUAAUCGGGGCAGGGUGAGUCGACCCCUAAGGCGAGGCUGAAAAGCGUAGUCGAUGGGCAACAGGUUAAUAUUCCUGUACUGGUGAUAAUUGCGAUGGGGGGACGGAGAAGGCUAGGCAGGCCGGGCGACGGUUGUCCCGGUUUAAGGAUGUAGGUGGGUGAGCCAGGUAAAUCCGGCUGACCAUGACACUGAGGUCUGAUGACGAGUCACUACGGUGGCGAAGUUGCUGAUGCCCUGCUUCCAGGAAAAGCCUCUAAGCUCCAGAUUAUCAUUAAUCGUACCCCAAACCGACACAGGUGGUCAGGUAGAGAAUACUCAGGCGCUUGAGAGAACUCGGGUGAAGGAACUAGGCAAAAUGGUGCCGUAACUUCGGGAGAAGGCACGCUGGCGUUAGGUGAAGGACCGCGCGUCCGGAGCCGAGGCCAGUCGCAGAGACCAGCUGGCUGCAACUGUUUAAUAAAAACACAGCACUGUGCAAACACGUAAGUGGACGUAUACGGUGUGACGCCUGCCCGGUGCUGGAAGGUUAAUUGAUGGGGUUAGCCGCAAGGCGAAGCUCUUGAUCGAAGCCCCAGUAAACGGCGGC
rnacentral:rRNA from 1 species